rnacentral:rRNA from 1 species
CCGACCUCCGCGAGGGGGAAGGGGCGCUUUUAUUAGUUCAAAACCGGUGGCGCGCGUCCGGGGCGACUCGGGCGCGCCCUCCCCCUUGAUGACUCUGGAUAACUUUGAGCUGAUCGCACGGCCUCUGCGCCGGCGACGCAUCUUUCAAAUGUCUGCCCUAUCAAAUGUCGACGGUACGUGACAUGCCUACCGUGUUGGCGACGGGUGACGGGGAAUCAGGGUUCGAUUCCGGAGAGGGAGCACGAGAAACGGCUACCACAUCCAAGGAAGGCAGCAGGCGCGCAACUUACCCACUCCCGGCACGGGGAGGUAGUGACGAAAAAUAACAAUACGGGACUCUUCAUGAGGCCCCGUAAUUGGAAUGAGCGCAGUCUAAACCCUUGAGCGAGGACCCAUUGGAGGGCAA